GGAGCGCUGGGCACGUGGUCUGCUCCGCCCCUCCCCCCACCCUAAGGGGAAACUGAGGCCCGAGGGGGCGGGGAGGGCCACAUGUCGACUUCUCGGCCCUCGUGUCUUCGACAAAGAGGCCUCGGGUCACCGCGCCACCGGCCGGCGCCGGUUCGGAGCCUCACCCGCCCCGUGGGGAGACUUGUGCCCGCUGAUGUCGAGAGACAGGUCGGGUGACGCGUGGGCCCGAGGUCCCGCAGGGGGUCGUGCAGAGCCCGUGUGAACCUGGCCCGAGGGGCGCCAGAACCCCUGAUUCACUGCCCAUCACCUCCGACUCUAGCGUUUCAGGUCCCAAAGCCGUUCGUCGGUUACCGGUCAAAUACUCUGGUGAGCGUUAGCCCAUUUCCGCCUAAUAAGCUUUAAGGGAAAGUGUUGAAACCUCCAUUUUCCAAACGGGUGUUUGAGUUUUAAAGUGAGGGCGCCCCAGCCCCUUUGGGCAAGUGCUGCUCCUGAGGGCCUUGAACUGGGGGCCGUGGCCUUCCUGCCAUGCGGCAGAGGGGGUGGGCCCUGGGCUGAGGGGGGUUCUGGGAACUGUGUUGCAAAGCCUUGUGCAGGAGAGUGGGGCUGGGUUUGGGGGCCAGAAAGGCCUGAGUUCAGAUGCUGACGCAGCCCCUCGUUAGCCGUGGAACCUCGGGUGAGUUACUCCAUUCUCCUGAGCUUUCCUUUCCUUCCAGGGGGGAAACAGCAAGCAGUCGGGAGGGCAGAGGCCUGGUCUGUGUCUGAACCCCCAGUGCCUGGCAAGUGGUUAGUAGGUACUUAGUUGGUAUUUUGUGGGUGGAGGAGUACUUGAGGCAUUUUUACGAGAAGUUGGUCUUCCUGUGGCCUCUGUUGAUGAGGGGAGAUGGAGUCUUUCCAUGAAGUGAGGAUAGUGUUGGGGUCCCGGGCUUGGCUGGGCAGCUUUCCCCUGCCUGGGCGGAGAGCCGGCUGCUGACACGGGCUCCUGUGCCUGGCUCUUCUUCUGCCCUUUGUUGCCCCUGCAUUCGGAAGUGAUCAUGGGCUGCCCGUGCCCUGGUCCCUGGUAGUGCCGGCAGAGGAGUUACUGAAAGCGUUUCCCCGUGUUUGGAGGGUUCACUCCUGUCCCUUCCCAACUCUGGAGCUGUCCCACUCGGCCGUCCUCCCGCCGCCUUUCUAUUAUUUUACUAUUUUAAUAAUUACUGCACACCGCACGGCUUGCCAGAUCUUAGUUCCCCGACCAGGAAUUGAAUCAAGGCCGUGGCAGUGAAAGCGCACGGAGUCCUAACCACUGGACCUCCAGGGAAUUCCCCCCAGCGCCUCUUUCGAUGUCUCCUGGCACCUGAUGUCUGUUGAGUGCCCUCUGCCUGGCUUGGUGCUGGUUUUUCUGAGGCUUUAAAAAAGGAGAAUGGGAGUGGGUCUUGCCACAGCUGUGGUCUUCUGACCCUGGUCUCCAGUCUCAGCAGCCCUGUGUUCUUUUCUGCCUCUGGAUUUGAAGUGGUUACAGGCUGCCCGUGUCCUGGUCAUUGGUAAUAUGGGCCAAGGAAAAGUUGCAAGACUUUCCCCAUGUUCAGGGGACCCAUACUUGUCCCUUCCAUACAGGACAGCCUUCAGUGACUAGCAGUGACCAAGCAUGAGGCAGUCCGAGGAUGGAGAGAGUCAGGCUGUAGUGCGUUCAUUGCCUAAGACCCGAAUCCCCCCAACACACACACCGUGUUUUCCUGUCGAUGAGCAUAAUGGUUUCCUGCCAGUUGGGCAGAUCACGUGAUGGCUUCUUGUCCCCUGCGGGAGUGUCACAUGGCUGCUGUUGCAUGAGACGUGUCGUCAGGGAGAGCCGGGACUGAGUCCCAGGUAAGUGGUGUCCCGCCCGUUCUCUAGUACUUGAGUUGUGUGCAGGCUGUGAGGCCAGAGAUGUCAGGUGCUGAGGUGUGGAGAGUGAGGGUGCAGUGGAGGCUUGGGCCCCCUUCUGCUCCUGAGAGCCUGGAUGGAGGCUGCUGUGAUGUUGAGAGGACAGAGAUUCACAUCCAGUGACCAGCCAAGUGCUCUUCUGUGAGCCUGAGCGAGAAUUCUGUCAGGUGUUCAAUCCUGGUGCCACUUACACACAUUCCUUCAGGACCUAAGAGUUCUCAGUGUUUCUGCCAUGAGUCUUCUCUUCAGCUCUUGGCAGGGACUGGUGAAUAAUCGGGUGGUUCUGUCAUCUUAGGCUGGAAGUCUGGUCAGUGACCUGUCUGCUGGUCUGUUGCUAGGCCAGGCCGUUUCCCAGGAUGCUGGCAGUGGCCUCCCUUCUCCGCUGCCUCACUGCCCUUUUCUGCCCCUGCAUUCGGAAGUGAUCGUGGGCUGCCCGUGCCCUGGUCAUUGAUAGUGCAGGGAGAGAAGUUGCUGAAAGCCUUUCCCCGUGUUUGGAGGGUUCAGUCCUGUCCCUUGCAAACUCUGGAGCUUUCGUACAUGUCUUUCUUCCCACUGAUUUGCGUUGCUUCCUGGUCCCUGGCGCUGUGUGCUCGCUGAGUGCCCCUUUUCCCGAGCAGGGCCCUGCCUUAGCAGUUCACGGGCUGGCAGUGGAGGGCUCCCCUCUGGACGUUUUCUCUGAUUCCCCAUCGCACCCCUUCCUCAUCCCACAUCCUCAGCCCCGCCCCUCAGCGCUGAUCGCCUAGAAAGUGUUGAUUUGCUGAUCGGGCCCCUUAUGCUGUAAUCUUGAGGGCAGCGCCUCCUUGUUUUGCGUUGCGUCUGGUGCCUGAUGCACAGCACCUGGACCAAAAAAAAACCCCAAAGAGGUGGAGAUGACCCAUCUGUUGUGAGGUGACAGGGCUCCUCCCAUUGCAGAGUGUCAGGGAACCAAGCCCUCCAGCAAGCCAGCCUGCCGGGUCAGCCUCCUUUUCUCCACUGGAAUUGUUUCUGUAAUGAAAGGUAGACUUACUAUAAUCUAGGUAGACUUACUGGUCAUGAGCAGGGCCCGUGGUCCGCUGUGGGUGUUUUUCUAGUGACCAACCUGGACAAAGCCCAGUAUAGUUGAGGAUGCAUCUGUAAGUCGCCCUUAUACUACGUAGCAGGCACGGGGCCCUCCCCCCACCUGUUACCCGUUCCGGUCCAUUCUAGUCAUUGCCAGGCAGCCACAGCCUGCAGACUGGUUAGCAGCAAAUUGAUCACAGUUGGCACAUAGGGUAACGUAGGUAUUAUUCCUGUCAGAGAUGACCUGCAGACCCCCUCCUAGGGUUAAAUCGUCCUUGUUCCUGAUACCGUGGUGUGGCCGUUCAGGUACUGCAGUAACAGCCUGCCUUCAUAGGUGCUAGAGACUGCCAGCUGCUGUGCCAAGUGUUCUGUGCGUCCCCCAGGGCCUGCUGUGAGUGCCCGUUCACCAAUUUCCCUUUGCAGCUGGGUCUGUGUGCACAGAGGCUCCACAGGAGGCGUCAUCUUCGUGUCAGCCAGGCUCUAGGCCCCGGGGCCCCAGGAUGUGGUGCGGCAGGAGGACUCUCCCGCCGUGUAGUCAGCCGUCAGCAGGGGGCUGCCCUUCUGCCUUUCUGCGCUGCAGAUGUGUUGGGUGGAGGCCGCAACUCUGCCCCGGCGCCUUCACUUAGUAGACUCUGCAGGGGCAACGUGGUGCUCCCAAGAGGCAUGUCUGGCUCCCAGACAACAGGUCAGCGUUCGAUCUGGAGAUCGUUAAGGAAGUCCCAAGGCCAUGAGUCAGUGACUUUGGGGUGACUUGGGAUCUGGCAUUGCUGGUAUUUCUCCCCAAGAUUCCUUUUGUUCGUGGACACCAGCGGGGCAGAGAGUGGAGAGUGCAGUCCACACAUGAAGAGCUCCCCGCCGCCUGCUCAGAGUGUCAUGGGAGAACUGUUCACUCAGCACGAGAAAUCAGGGCAAAGCGCUGGGACUGGGGGCUUGGGGCCCCCUUCAGCUGGCUCUGAGUCCCGACAGCAGUGCCCUUGGGCGCCAUGGACAGGGAAGGCCUUUCCCCGUCCCUCUGCCAUGCCUGCGUGACUUCAGCGACCAAGAGUUUUUCUCUUGAGCUGGCAGCUGCUCAUCAUCAUCACUUUUCUCUCCACCCAUCCAUUCAGUAAACCUUAUGCACCCGCCCCACCUGCGUUUUAAGUCAGUAACAAGCCACGUGCCAGCGAGGCUGGGCAGGGAGAAAGUGGGUCACAGGCCAAAUCCUGUUUCCACUCUGAGCCUUUCCGUCCUGCUCCUGAGGCUUGGCACGUGGGCUGUUGUUUGAGGUGUUCUGUUAGGACGGGCGUGAACAAACGCUGGUGGUUGGCUCAGGUUAGGACCUGUGAGAGUUGAGGGCAUCGAGGAACAGGCAGGCCAGGGCUUGGGAAGGGUGAUGGGGACCGGAGUGAGACAGGUGCUGAUGUCUUGGGGAAGCUGUGGGUGCCUGGCUAAUGAGUACGUACCUGCUUGUGUGACCAACUGGCCUAGUUUGCCUGGAAUUGAGGGCUUUCUCAGACAUGGGACUUUUAUUGCCAAAACCAGGAAAGUCCUGGCCAAACUGGAACAAGUUGGUCAACUUAUCUGGGUGUAAAAUACAUGGUGUCAACUUGAGAGGACAGGUUACUGAGUAAAGGUGAGAAUGGUGAACGUGGAGCUGCCAUUGGUGGACUCAGUCUUUUGGAGAUAAUUGGGGUAAAAUCAACAGUUGCACUGAGGACACGUAUGUGAACUUUUUAAUCUCCAUUUUAUAGAUGGAGGCAUCUACAUGAGGAAGUAUGUCCCAAAGGCUGUGAUGAAAGGCUCUACUUAAUUGUCCAGUUUCUGCAUUUGGAAUUGAAACCACCUUGGCUAAGCUGAGGCAGGAUUCAGGCUGUCAGGCCUGCCCGGUGGCUUUGACACCCUGAAGGUCUGUGCAGGGGCAGGCAUUCUUCAUGGCUGAAAUAUUCUGCCCUGCUAGCCAUUCUUCAUGGCUGAAAUGUUCUGCCCUGCUAACCAUUCUUCAUCGCUGAAACGUUCUGCCCUGCUAGCCAUUCUUCAUGGCUGAAACGUUCUGCCCUGCUAGCCAGUUCCUGGUAGACGCUUCCAGAAGUGGGCAGUCCUUUUUCUGUCUCACUCCGAGGACUGUCCUCUGACUUCUGUUUGCCACCUUUAUUCAGCUGGUUGUAGCUGCCUGGAAAGAUGCCAAGAGAAGGAGUCUGGGUCCACUGGAGCUAGCUGUGACUGAGCGUGAUGUUUGCUGCCAUGCAGGAACAGCAGCAGCGGGACACAGGCCAGUCCUGAACAAGUGUUCCUGGGGACCCCGGGCACUGGUCAUCAUGCUAGCCCUGUUCUACCGCAGUGUGUGAAGCACGAGCCAUCCCAGGUCUGUAGGGCCUGAGGAGAUCUGAGGAGAGCAUUCAUCCAGGGUGACCCAGGAACCAGGCUUAGGGUCAGUAAGGCACAAACCUUGGCUGGGAAACUAGGCCUCACUGGAGCAGCUGGUGGGAGAUUAACCAGACAUCAUACUAGACAUAGGGGUACAAUGGUGAAUAAGACAGUUUGUGCCCUAAAAGGGGUCACCAAUAAAUAUAUAGAUAAUGUCUCCACACACCAAACAUUACAGGACGUGCAGUGCUGGGCACUGUAGGUGUUGGGGAUGCAGCUUUAAACAAAACAGGGUGCCUCCUGGAGCUUGCUUAGAACUGCUGUCCAUUAUGGCAAGCCACCAGACACUUGUGGCUCUUUUAAUAAAACUUAAAAUUCAGGUCUUCAGUUUUAUCAGCCACAUUUCAAGUGCUCAGUAGCCACAAGUAGCUGCGGGGUUGGACAGUGCAGAUACAUAGAAUAUUCCCGUCACUGCAGGAAGUUCAGACAGCGCCAGUCUAGAAAACAAGGCGUUGAGUUCCAUGAAAGGAGUUGCUGGGACACCUUUACAGAAAGGCUGUCAUUUGAGGAGUCCAAAGAGGGCUGCUGUGCCUGGCGCUGCAUUCCUGUGAUUAUGGGGGGGGAUUGGGUAAAUUGGGGGCAUCAGCCCGGAGGGGGUGUGAGAGCACUGGCUUCCGAGUCACAGACCUGGGGUCUAACCCAGCAGGGUGACAUAAUGUGGGUUUCCAUCACCUGACCUCCGUUUCCCCUUGUGAAAUGAGAACCACACCUCCACAGGAAUAUGGUGAGGUAAGGAUUAAACAGACUUGUAUGUGGAAGCCUGUGUAGGGUGUGGCUUCAGAAAGUGUUCAAUAACUGAUAGCUAUUAUUAUUUAUUGAAGUUUCCUCUUCAAUUUUUUUUUGUCUUUUUUCGGCCUUGAGGCUUUCAGGGUAUAGCCUGUAAUGCUGAAGUUUCCAGGAAAGCAAAAAUUGUUCCCCUCCUUUUACAACUUAAGAUAUGUAUAAUGCAAUGGUUAAUAAAUAUCUAGAAACAUAUACCCCCAAAUUAGAGGAUAUAUGCUUUUCUCAAGCACCUACAUUUACAAAUACUUUUUAUGUUCCAGGUUACAAAACAAGUCACAAAUACCAAAGAAUCAGUUAUACAGAUUAUUUGUAUCAUACUACAGUAUAAUUAAGGACGAUAACAACAAAAAUGGGUUUGGAAAAAUCCAUAUAUUUGGAAAAUUUAAAAUGUUCAAAAAUAACUCGUCAAAGAUGAAACCAGAGGGGAAUUAGAAACUACUUAGAACUGAAUGAUAAUGAAAAUUUCUACAUACCAGUACUUGUGAGAUGUAGCUAAAGUAAUUCUGAAGAAGUUUGUGCCUCACGUGCUUAUAUUAGAAGAAAGGCUGAAUAAUUUUUAUUAAUAAGUAAUAAAAAAUAGAAGUAAUGAGAAUAAAAAUUAGAGCAGAAACUAAAGCAGAGGGCAAAAAUACAACAACAAUCAACAUGGCUAAGAGUUGGUUCUUUGAAAAGUCAUGAAACUGAUGAAGAAAAAUAAUUUCAGGAAGGGAAAAGGACAUAGGACAGAACUGGGAUUAAAAAAAUACAGAUUACUUUUCACGUAUAAAAAUUUAAACUUUGGGACUUCCCUGGCGGUCCAGUGGUGAGGACUCUGUGCUCUCACUGCUGGGGCCAGGGUUCAAUCCCUGGUCGGGGAACUAAGAUCCCGCAAGCUGCAUGGCGCGGCCAAAAAAAAAAAUUUUAACUUUGACAAAAUGAGCACAUUUCUAGAAGACAUCCAAAAAAGUUGCCUCAAAGAGAAAGAAAACUUGAAUAGUCUGAUAAAACCCAUCUGAUAAAAGACCACAAGGGAACAGUAAAGUCAGAUUUAUUUGCCUGUUGCAACAUAAACUUUUUUGGUCACUGUUAAAGCUGUGACUUUCUCACAAGAGGAAUUUUUGAUCCUUUCUUGAAUAGACAUAUAAUGACCAAAACGUAUGUCCCAUUGUUAAGGGACAAUUGAAUGCAGUCCAUCUGGAGGAGGUUGAAGGGACCCUGGGCUCUGGCUUCAGACUGUCCGCAGUUUUGUCGGGAUUUGGUUGUAGACAGGACAUGCAUGAGAAACAUUGGUCAGGCCUUUAAAAUCUUCCCGCCAAUGUUGGCUUUUGCUUACAAGAACUUUCCGAUCAAGUCUAUUAUUCUGCAUAAACCCAGUCAAGCUGGGUGUCUGUCACCUAUAAUCCAAAGCAUCAUCGAUUCUUUUUCUAAGCUUGUCAGGUAUGAUGCUUAUUAGGGUAUCCUGUGAUGGGCCCGGCCCUGGCGUGAGGCCCAGCAGGUGUUGUACUUCUUCAGGAAGACUUGCCUGCUUGUGGUGCUGGCCUAGCUAACGCAGAAGUCCAGAAGGCAAGGGGACCAGCUGAUCCGUUUAAAUAAGUGUGUGUCAGCUGUCACUCCCAGCCUCCAGACAACGAUCCGUUCUCAGGCUCAGCCUUGUUUGUCAAUCUACCUACAUGUCUGCUGACAUUAAAACAGCAGACAUGCCUCCUGCCAGUGGGAGAAGAGUGUGUGUGUGUGUGUGUGUGUGUGUGUGUGUGUGUGUGGGGUGUGUGAAGUGGGCGUUUGUGGUUGGAGGGGACAUGCUUCUACCCUGAAAAUCCAGGAAAGUAGGCAGGGUUGUCCAAUGACCUUGGUCAGGAAAACCCAUGAGAAACUGGGGAACCUAUUGCUGCCAAAAGAUGCAGAAACAGAGAAGGAGGGGCCAAGGAGACUGGAAAGUUUUUAUAAUAAGUUUUUUUCAAAUAGCCCAUGAUUAGAGCAGUAGAUUGGAUACAGUAAUCUGCAGGAAAAAUCGUAACUUUCUUUGCUAACUAACCAAGCAUUCCAGGAUAAUGUUUGGCGUUGGUUCAUUAUCUUUCACCAUCCUUGCCAAAAAUCUCACAUAGCAUAUGUCAGUUGUAUUCACUGAAUAAUAUUCCAUUGUUUGUAUCUAUCACAUCUUGUUUAUACAUUCAUCUGUUGAUGGACAUUUGUGUGGUUUCCACCUUUUGGCUAUUGUGAAUAAUGCUGCUAUGAACAUCAGUGUACAAAUAGCCAUUUAUGCUCCUACUUUCAAUUCUUUUGGAGAACGGGGUCUAGGCGCGCGGGCUUCCGUAGUUGUGGUGCGUGGGCUUCAGUAGCUGUGGCUCGCGGGCUCUAGAGCACAGGCUCAGUAAUUGUGGCACAGGGGCUUUGUUGCUCCGCGGCAUGUGGGAUCUUCCCAGACCAGGGUCCGAACCUGUAUCCCUUGCAUUGGCAGACGGAUUCUUAACCUCUGUGCCACCAGGGAAGUCCCCACCAUCUCUUUUUGAGAAUAAAAUGUUAUUGGGACACAGUCACACUAAUGAAUUUACCCAUUGCCUAUGGCUGCUUUCACACUACAACAGCAGAAUCGAAUAGUUGUGAAGAUAUAGUCCAUGAUGCUGAAAAUAUUAUCUGUCCUUUAUAGAAAAUGUUUGCCAACAUGUACUUUAGAUGAUUCCUGAAUGCAUAUUUUAAGUUUUGAUAGAGAAUUAUUUUAGCCUAUUUGAGGAAAAAAUAUAACCAGGGUGUCAAAACUGUGGUUUCAUGAAUGUUAUUGUUUAGGAGGAAACUGAGUUUAAAGAGCGUGCUAAUGGAAAGCGGACUUAAUGAAAUAGUACAUAGUGGUACAGAUGGUCUUUGGCUCAGGCAGAAUUGUGAAGGUGGGGAGGGAGGGCCUGAUACUUGAGGCCCACUGGACCGUGCAGGUGCUGGGCGAUAGCGGUAGAUGCUGAGCAUGACCAGAGAGCUUCAGGCCAACCCCUCUGUCGGGAAUGGUGGCUGCUGCUCUUUUCAGUUAACAGUGAUAGUAAAUAAUGGGCUGUUAUGCCUGGUGCUUUCCAUUUCUCAAAGGACUUUCACGUCUGUUAUCUCAAAUGGAUAUCAUUAUUUCCACUUAGCAAAUUCAUCCAUUAAUUCCUUACCAAGGAUUUAUUGAGCAUCUAUCAUGUGCUGGGUGGUAUUUUAGAUGCUGGGGAUAAAGCCAUGAACAAAACAGGCAGAGCUGCUACCCUGUGGACCUUAAAUUUUAGUAGGGUGGGUAUCAGGAUUUUGGCAGCAAGGAAUCAAAAUCCAUGAUGCCCUCUGGCUUGGGCAAUAAGAAAAUUUAUCAUCUGUCAUGACAAGAGGUGCAGUGUUAAGUUGGGCUGCAGGCACAGCGUGCUUUUGGUUUUGCUCUCCUUCCCUGUGUUUCUCUUGAACCUGCUCAUCGCCAUGUGUUACCAUCCUCUGGUGGGUAUCAAGUUUGCUUUGGUGUAUCCUGACAUGACAGCACCCACAGGAAAAACAGAAACACUGUUUCUUCCUUGUGUCUCUUUCUUAGAAAUGAAAAACUUCCCCAGAAGCCCCACUGCAGACGCUGCAGACUUCCCCAUGUGUCUCAUUGCCAUUGUAUUAUUUAAAUUUAGAUUGGACUGCAUAUUACAAACAAUGGUUCAAAGAAGUGUUAAAUACAAAAUGGAGACUGGACUUGAGAAUUCCCUGAGCAGACAAAACCAUUUAAGCACACAAGCAAAACUAAAUCCAGCUUAGUUCACGAACACAAGUGAAAGUUAAGUUAGGUUAUUUCUUAAAAAUGCCUCUGACAACCAUCAUAAAAGAAACUUAAGUCAUCUUCCUGAAAAUGGUAUGAGAUAUUGGGUUGACCAAAAAGUUCGUUUGGGUCUUUCUGUAAGAUGAUACAAAAACCCGAAUGAACUUUUUGGCCAACACAAUAAUUGCUUUUUAAAAAUGCAAUGCAGAAAAAAAAAUGCAAUGCAGUAUUAUUAACUAGGGUUACCAUGCUGUACAUUAUAUCCCCAUGACUUAUCUAUUUUAUAACUAGAAGUUUGUACCUUUCGACUCUCUUCACCCAUUUUGCCCAUUCCCUGCCCGCCACUUCUGGCAAUCACCGAUCUGUUCUCUGUAUCUAUGAGCUUGUUCUUUCUUUAGAUUCCACAGAUAAGUGAGAUCAUACAGUAUUUGUCUUUCUCUGUCUGACUUAUUUCAUUUAUCAUCAUGCCCUCAAGCUCCAUCCAUGUUGUCACAACUGGCAAGGUGUCCUUCUUUUUUAUAGCUGAAUAUAUAUACCACAUUUCCUUUAUCCAUUCGCCCUUUGAUGGACACUUAGGUUGUUUUUAUAUCUUAUAAAUAAUAUUGCAGUGAACAUGGUGCAUAUAUCGUUUCAAUUUAGUGGUUUUGUUUUCUUUGGAUAAGUACCCAAAAGUGAAAUUGCUGAAUCAUAUGGUAGUUCUAUUUUUAAAUUUUUGAGGAAACUCCAUGCUGUUUUCCAUAGUGGCUGCACCAAUUUAUAUUCCCACCAACAGGGCAUGCACAAGGGUUUCCUUUUCUCCAUGUCGAGCCGAAACUUGUUAUUUCUUGUCUUUUUGAUAAUAGCUAUUAUUAAAUAUUAUUUGAUAACAAUUCCAACAGGUGUGAGGUGAUAUCUCAUUGUGGUUUUCAUUUGCAUUUCCCUGAUGAUUAGUGAUGUUGAGUAUCUUUUCCUGUACCUGUUGGCCAUCUAUAUGUCUUCUUUUGGAAAACAUCAAUUUAGAUCCUUUGCCUAUUUAAAAAUCAGAUUGUUUUUUUUUCCAUUGAAUUUAUGAGUUCUUUAUCUAUUUUGAUUAUUAACCUCUUAUCAGGUACAUGAUUUGCAGAUAUUUUGUCCCAUUCAGUAGGUUGCGUUUUCAUUUAGUUUACAGUUUCCUUCACUGUGCAGAAGCUUUUUAGUUUGAUGUAGUCCCACUUGCAUAUUUUCGCUUUUGUUACCUCUGCUUUUCAUGUCAAAUCCAGAAAAUCAGUGCCAAGACCGAUGUCAAGGUUACCAUCUAUGUUUUCUUCUAGAAGAUUUCUGGUUUCAGGUUUUACAUUCAAGUUUUUAAUCCAUUUUGAGUUAAUUUUUGUGUAUGGAGUAAGAGUGGGGUCCAGUUUAAUUCUUUUGCAUGUAUAUUUCCAGUUUUCCCAACACCAUUUAUUAAAGAGACUGUUCUUUACUCAUUGUGUAUUCUUGGCUCCUAUGUUGUAAAGUAAUUGACCUUAUACACGUGGGUUUACUUCUGGGCUCUCUAUUCUGUUACAUUCAUUUAUGUUUCUUAUUUUAUGCCAAUACCACACUGUUUUGAUAACUACAGCUUUGUAAUAUAGUUUGAAAUCAGGAUGUGUGAUGCCUCUGGCUGUGGUCUUAUUUCUCAAGAUUGCUUUGGCUAUUUGGAGUUUUUUAUGGUUCCAUAUAAAUUUUAGACUUGUUUGUUCUAUUUCUGUGAAUUAUGCCAUUGGAAUUUUGAUAGGAAUUGCGUUGAGUCUGUAGAUUGCUUUGCGUAGUAUGUAUGUUUUAUUAUUAUUAAUUUCCUUCCAGUUUUAUUGAGGUAUAAUUGACAUACAGCACUAUAUAAGUUUAAAGUGUACAGCCGGGGCUUCUCUGGUGGCACAGUGGUUGAGAGUCCGCUUGCCGAUGGAGGGGACACGGGUUCGUGCCCCGGUCUGGGAAGAUCCCACAUGCCGCGGAGUGGCUGGGCCCGUGAUCCAUGGCCGCUGAGUCUGCACGUCCGGAGCCUGUGCUCCGCAACAGUAGAGGCCACAACAGUGAGAGGCCCGCGUACCGCAAGAAAAAAAAUAAAUAAAGUGUACAGCUGAAUGAUUUGACUUCCAUACGUCAUGAAAUGAUUAUCACAAUAAGUUUAGUGAACAUUCAUUAUCUCAU